AGAUAAGAUCAAGUUAAUUCUCAGACAGUACAAUUGCUGAAUUGGAGCAACCUGCAGCAGGCCAGGAGGGAGGAUCCUGGGAGGUUCAGGGAGUCGUAGGGUGGGCACCCAAGGAUUGGCUCUCCUUGUUUGAAAAUGAUGGGUGUGACUGCCUGGCUCUUGCCAUGGAAAAGUGAAGUCUAAAUGCAAGAAGUUGUCUUUGUGCCCCAUGGAUCGGGAUGAUGAAGCCGGCUGCUGUUCUUUGCUGGGCCUUCUGAAUAAAAUUUAGAAGCUCAAGCUUGAUUGAAGAGUUACACUUUGUUACUAAGAAAACAUUAAUGUGAAUGGAAACUACAACUCACUCAACGCAUCAGUUUACUUGCACCGAACUUGUUAAAAAGCGAGCCCUGCUCAACAGCUCAGUCCACAGUCCACACUGCUGGAAGUUUGUAGAAUCGGGUGCCCUAAAUACACUUUAAAAUCUAGAUUCAAAGACUAAUCAGUCAUAUUUACAUGAAGACCAUCUCUGAAAGGGGAGAAAAUGAGAACAGAAGUAACUUUAUUUGAGAAACAGUGUGAUUUCUUUGGACAUUUAAACAAAACUCAAGUGGGCUAAUUACAGGGUUGCUCUCUCUGAUUUUCACUCUGGCACAAGGAAUUUUCGUGGCAUUUAGAUAAUUUAUCAAGGGGACUAGGGAACAGAUAAAAGAUUGCGUUUUCCUUUCCAACAUUUGGGGGGUACAUUUGGACAAUAAGAGGAAUGAUUUUUUAAAAAUCGGUCUAGACUUAAAUGAAUGAAAAUUAUGCUCGUUAACUGUAAUGUCUGGACUCGGACCAGGGGUGUCCGGUGUCCUGCCUACCCCCGGGCCACCGUGGUCAAACAAAGCUGCUAAUUCGAAUGUUUUAAGUUUCAAAUUGAGAAAUAUUGUUCUAAUAUGGCAACAAUGGGGCUGUUGUCCUUUCAAGCGCUCUGCCAUUACAGACUCCUUACGGCUCAUUUUAUGCAAAACAAAUGGCAGGUAAUCGUGAUUUAAUUCUUUUCAAGUAAAUUACAGUGAGUGCGUGGCACAAAGCCGCGGCGGACCCUCCCUUCUCCGUCAAUAGCUGAAUUAAUGGUGGCAGGAGUAAAAACAGCAAUUGUGCACAACAGCCCUCCCCGGCUCCCACCCCUGCAACGCGGGACCUGCCAAUCUGGCCGCGCCCCCACCAGGCUGGAACGCUCGGGUCGCCGCCGUUUGGAUGGAACGUUCUGGUGUCACCGCGCGGCGGCCGCAGAGCCCAGGGCUCGCUCCGAACCAGCGUCCCGGCAGGGGUCAGCGUCCGCGCGCUGCGGGCCGGGGCGCGCGGGGACCCGGGGCUUGUGGCCCUGGAAAUGCGAGUUACAGAGCAAAGGGUUCCCCGGGCAGGUCAAGGAUCGGGGCACUUUGAAGAUCCGCUAACCACGCCACGUCCCCUCGGCGAGAGACCCUGGAUGCCUCCGGAGGCAGCGGCCCGGCGAGAGGUGGGGCGGACCCCCGCCAGCGCCGGCGCGGGGGCGCGGGGGCUGCGCGCUGCUGCGCGUCCCUGGGCGCAGGAACCCGAGGGCCGAGACCCGAGCCACUCCGCGCUCACAGCGCCAGUUUUUGCCGAGAAGCCCGCUUGGGGCGAGAGAUGGGGUUGGGGAGCAAGGGAUCAGCUAGGAAAGCAGGGGUCCCCUGUGGCUGAGAGGCCAGGUCUGGUGCUCAGACCCCAGGCUCACCGGGGGAAGCCUGAACCUCUGGAAGGGACUUUGAGAUGAGGCUCUGUUCCUGUACACAGUAGGUGUGCAGUGACCAUUGCAUUGAACUGACGGCCAAAGUACUGCGUGACAUUGUAAAUCACUUUCCAUUGUACUUGGAACAAAAAUCAAACUCUUUCCUGAGGCCCAAGGUUCCGGCUAUGGCCUGGCCAUCUGCUCCAAUAGGUUCUGGAUGCGGAAUGCCUGCCCGCGACCCAAAUGCUGCUUGCACUGUCCUGAAAGGGGGACUUUGAGCAAAUGACUUAACCUCUUUGACCUCAGUUUCCACAGCUGUAAAUGGGGUCAAUAAUGGAACCCUACACUCAAGGACCUUGAUGAGCUUUCACACAGUACUUAAAAUGGUGCUUGGCUCAUAGAAAAGUGCCUGAUAAAUGUUAGGAGGAUUCACUGCACCUGGGCCAUGUCCACAUUUUCCAUCUUCCUGGACCUCCCUGAACGCAUUCCUGCCUCUGCCCCUGCAGACAGGGAUCUUGCCUUUCUCUGUCAUGGCUUCUGCUUCAGGCCUUCACUCAACUGUCACCCCAAGACGUCUUCACUGGCAUGGACCAUCCUGCUCAUCUUUAACUUAAAGCUCUGUGUUCUUCCUAGUAUUGAUCCUGAUCUGAACAGUUUUCACCUUUUUGCUUGGCCAUUAUUUCCUGUCUUCUCCUCAAAGUGUAAGUUCUGCAGAAAUGGAACCUUUCUUCUCUGCAGGCUCUCAGCACUUUGCUCAGUACCUGGAAUGUAGUAGGUGCUCAAUGAAGCCCAGGAAAUGGAUGAAUGGAGUCGCUUCCUCUUUGACCUCAACACCAGAGUGAUUGAACUUGUUAUCUCUUAUGUGCCCAAGUCUGUUGUUCAAGGAUAUAAGCAAAAUCAUCCACGUGGAAAUUUUUAUUUUCAAAACGAGAAAAUAACAAUUUGCUAAAGAAGUCUAAGUUCUCCAGCAGAACUACAGACUGUUCUCAAUGAUGCCAACUUUCUUCCCUACCUGGGUCUGACAUGGGCUGGAACCAGUUUCUGAGAACUCCUCCCAUCCUCCCUGAGCCAGGGGACGAGGCCUGACAGGUGGCUAAGGCCCUUCUAGAUCUCUUCCCUAGUUUUGCCCCACCUUCACCCUCAGUUGAGGCCUUGCUGGUCUGGGCCAGUUUGGUCCUAGGACCCUAUAGAUGUCCCUGUCCUGAGCAAGCCCUGCCUGCUUUCCUCCUGUAGGUCCGGGAGUGCCCUUCCUCCUCCAGUGAGGACAUCUUGUGGCAGGGUCUUUGCCUUUGGCCUCCUGGCCAGAGCUCCUCUGCCCUUUCCAUUGCUCUUCUUUGAUGUUAGUUACAGAUUCACACUUGCUCUUUCUCCUUCAGAGCAGCUGCUUUAUACUGGUUCCUGCUGGGCUACCAGACCCCCUCUCCCCACAGCCUGCCAGGGCUGAGAAGCUGGGUGGGGCUGCCUCAGCAGCUCAAUUCAAGAUACAGGACACACCAAAGUCAAAAUGGAGAGCCUUGAACACUCCCUGUGGACGAGAGGCGAGUCUGGUGUGUAUUCCUGGCCUCACUGCUCACUACCCUGUGAUCCUGGACACCUGACUUCACCUUGAAAGGAUUUCAAGAUACAGCCAUCUCGACAGCCUCCAAAUCAGCCAAGAAGUCCAGGGGCAGAGGAAACAAGGCCGCAGAAGGGUUGAGGUGACACUUGCUGGCAGGCGGAAUGUAAGCUCCACAAGGGCAGGACUUUGUCUUUUUCUCCAGCGUCUCCUGAGUAUCUUGCGUGUAGUAGGUGUUUAAUAAAUAACUGGAGAGUCUCCUGAGGUUUUCUAACCAAAGUAGGACUGCGGGUGCUUGCAGGUGGCCACAGGAUCCACAGGCCAGGGCUGCUGGACCCAAGGGUCACGGCUGCCAUCUCACUCAUGCUGGUGGUCACGGCCCUAUGUGGACACAGAACUCUGAUGAAUGACAGAAGCCACAGUGGACAUGGGGUUUGAGCUUCCUCAGAAAGUGCCAGGAACAGAGUUUGGGUUGUAUUUCACAAGCAGCUCUGGUGCUGGAGUGGCCUGGAGAGUUGUUGACCAUCUUACAUCAACCAGCGCCUGCAGCAUGCAGAGGUGCCCAUGUCUGGAAUAUCGGGAUCCCGGGCAGCAAUUCAGGAGGAACAGGCUGAGGACCUUCUCAUAUGACUGUGAAUGAGUCCCAGCAGGGUGAGCCUCUGGGACCUUGAAUCCAGUCCCUCCUCCUUUUGAGCUGGAUGACCUCAGCUUGGGAACUGGAUCCAGAGCCUCGCACAUGCUAGUCAAGUGCUCUACCACUGAGAUAGCCCCAGUCCCAGCCCGGAUCUUCUGAUUAAGUGGUGUGCCACACAUCCUUGUGUGCUUAGCUGGGAGUCCGUGUCUUCAAGUCAUCAUUCGUCCACUGCAGAGGAAUGUAGACUCUAGGAGUGAAAAUCUUGAGACUCUGGAUAAUGGAAGAGAGAAAACAGAAAACCAGCGAUGUAUACGGUGCAAGCAAGCAGCUUCUGAGGUUGGAACAUUUUCUGCCCUUGUCCCUAAGUAGUUCCUAGAGUCUCUUUGGCCUUUCUAUAGUCAGAGUCAGAGCAAUGGUCCUACACUACCCAAAUUCUGCCUAAGGCUGGUAUGGGACAGCGUUGUGCCGUCGAGGCAGACUCCUUGCUCAGAAGUGUCCCUGGUCCCUCUGUGUACUCCUGCCUCCCCAUCUCCAGUGGAGCCCGGCAGGUCUGCUGCAGGGGGACUGACUGCUCUGGGGUUCUUGUGAGGUUAUAGGAGAAGGUUGGGGUGGCUGCAAAGAAGCACUUCCUGGAAAGGGGUGCACAAUGUCAGCACCAAAGUGCACCUGAUCUUAAGGCAGCCUUGGGCCAGCUUAGCUCCUAGCAGGCCUUCUCUCCUUUCCACCCGGACUGUGUGGCCUCACAGAGGGAUUUGGCGUCACUUAAAGUGACUACUUGGAACAUAGGUUCUCUCUCUUCUUUGAUGAAAAAAUUACUAUGAUUGAACACAACAUCCACCUGCUGUUUCAGCAUCAACAAAUGAAUGAGUCAUGAUGGAUGAGGAGGAAAACCCACAAAUGCUUGGGUGACUUAGGAAAAAAAAAAAACAAAAAACUUUGUUUAGAAUAGGUGGAUACAAUCUCAAUCUAUUCAUUGGGCAAUGUUGUCCGUGAACCGUAUCCCUGGACCAGAAUGAGCCUAGGGGUGUGGCAGGGUAAGGACAGCCUGGUGUCCAAAGCUUGUCCUGUGUGCACAAUUGUCUUAGUUCAAAUGGGGCUGCUAUAACAAAUAUCAGCAAUCAAGUAGCUGCAAAUAGCACACAUUUAUUUCUCACUGCUCUAGAAACUAGGAAGUCCAAGAUCUGGGUGUUAGCAGGUUUGGGUCAGGCAAGGGCCCACUUUCUGGUUUGUAGAUGGCACCUUUUUGUUGUUUCCUCACAUGGAGGAAGGGGCAAGGGAGCUCUCAGUGUUCUCUGACAAAUGGGCACUUGUCCCAUUCAUGAAGUCUUCAGCCUCAGGAGAUGUAAUUGUUUCCAAAGACCUCAGCUUCAAAUACCAUCCCCUUGAGGGUGACAUUUCAGCAUAUGAAUGAGGGGGACACACACAUUAGGACCAGUGUGCUGAGAUAUGGCUUCCCUUCCUGACCCGGCACCUGGUGCUCCUACAUAGUGGGAAGGAGGAGAGAGGCGCAGUCUGAGGCACACAGGCUUUUGAAACAAGUGAAGAAUGCUUAGUUUCACCAAGAGAAAAGGUGCUCCAUGGAAAAGAUCCCUGACAUAUUUAUAAAAAUAUCAGCGACAUUGCAGAUGCCAUGGGAAAAAUAGGGAUGAGUUAGGGGCUGAGCUCUGGUUGUGUGUCUGCUGCCUCAAAGCUGGAACCUACAAGUUGACAUCUCACUUAUCUGGGUCUCAGUUUACCCACCUGGAAACUAAAACCAUUAUACUGGAUGCCUUCCAAAGCCACUCUCAGCUAUGAAACUCCUUGUUUGUUUUGAUUAAAAAUAAUUAUAUUGCUAUAUUAUGUGCAUGCACAAAUAUGUAACAAUGAAUCCCACUAUUAGAUACAACUAUAAUGUACCUAUAUAAAAAAGAACAUUUUUAAUAUAAUAAAUGCAACCAAGCUUCUUAUAGAGAAAUCAGAAAACACAGGUGGGUCAAAGAAAGAAAAUUUAAAAAGUAUAAAAUCUAAAAUUCUAUUGCUGAGCAGUAGACAUCACUUAAAAAUGCAUGUCUAGCCUCACAGGACUUUUAAAAUUCAGCAGACAUUUCCUUUAGUAUUUAUAUUAAAUUAAAUACUUCAGGUAUGGGACCCUAUGAGAUACAUAGCAUUACAAUAAACUUAUUUGUCACUUAACACACCAUUGGCAUUUUAACUGAAAAGACUCCAUAUGCAGAUGCUCCACAUUUGAUUAGGGCCGAACAUUGAAGGGGUUUCAUCUUUUCCACUCUUGUGCAUAAGGCUGCGGGGACGUGCUGCUGGCCACCCCUUCGUGCACAUCUUUAUUGAGUGCAUCACUGUCUGUAUCCUCCAUUGUGGUGGUUGGAAAGGUACAAACGGGAGACGUGUACACACUGUGGACAGCAGAGGCCAGCAUGUUCUGUCGUGUGUGGAGAGGAAGGAUGUUGGGGUCAAAGCCCUGCCAAAGUCGAAGCCCAGGUGGGGGGCAUCUCUGUGUCAGUCUGGCUCUGCCUGGCUGUGCCCACUGAGUGGAGAGUUGGGGGCUGAGCGUUUGGUGAUGGGAGGUUCACAGUGACCAUUGGAGGACCUGCCCCAUGGGAAAGGGCCCAUGGGAGGCAAUCCUGUGUGGAAUACUCUAGAGCCCAGGAUUAUCCCCAUCUUAUGGAUGAAACUGGUGCAGAAAAAGGUUUAAUAGUUUGCCCCAAAUCGUGCCACCUAUGUGUGCCAAUUUUUCUGGAGGUGUGCAGAGUCUCAGGUACAGCAGUGAGUCAUCCUGUUGCCUGGAAGUCAGGAGAAUGUUCUCUGAUAACAAUCAUUGCUCUACUAUUCCCUGAGGAAAGAACGAAGGGGUUCUCCUUCAGUGACUCUUGGAAUGCUCUUUCAUUACCCUCCUCAUUAGGAAAGGGGAGGAAUUAAAAAAAACAAAAAACAACUGAGAUCUCAUAAACAAAUCCUUGCAAGAUCACCAAGUUAAUAGGCCAAGAGCCCCCGAGUUCCUUCAUAAGGAAAGAAACCUUGGGCUGGGAACGGGCUGGUGAGCUCUGAGAGCUCAGCACAGGUUGGUGCGAGACCUUAAGUGUGGCUUGUGCUAUGAAGCAGAGGGAGGCCAUCUGUACCCAUUUCACAGAUGAGUGCCCUCAGGGCCCCAGGGUGCAAGGGACGGGUCUGCUAGUGCAAGGCGCCAGCUGCAGCAGUGCUGGCGAUUCCUUCUGGGUCUACGGAUGACCAUCCCUGCCUUACCAGCUCCACUCUUGAAAGGGUGGAAUGAGGUAAUGUCUCAGAACGUCCCUUGUAAACUAUAAAAUAUUAUAUGUCUAUGUGAGAGAUUACUAUACUUAUAAAGCUAAAUUAUAGCAGAUUUUAAAUGAAAAGCUCAAAUAGCCACGCUGCCGAAUGCUAGCUCUUCAUACUCAUUUCCUGAUGGGACAAAAGGAAGAAUCGCGAAUAUGUACUGAGUUCUGCGGGGGGAUCGAAAUGCUUCUACGCUGUUAACCCAUUGAAUCCUCACAGGUGCUACAAUUAUCCCCAUCUUAUGGAUGAAACGGUUGCAGAAAGAGGUUUAAUAAUUUGCCCCAAAUCGUGCCACCUAUGUGUGCCAAGUUUUCUGGCUCUCAAGUCUAUGAGGUGUUCCUUGGUCACAUAAAAAUGUACCAAGGCCCCUCAAAAGAGGACUUGGGUAUGGUUUGAACAUUCAUGGGUCUUCAGUAAGUCUAGGCAGCCCAAAGGCUUAACCCCUGUUUACCAGCAAGAUUGGCUAUUCCAGUUGGGGGUCCUUCAGCAUUCCAUGCUGGGGACUGUCCCAGGACAGAGAGAUUUAGCUGACCCAUGACCCAGAGGACCCCUUUCUUUCUGAGCCACAUAUGCAGAUAUCUCUGAAGAUGGCCAUCUCUCCUCACUGGCAAUCAUGAAUUUUUAUGAAGCCGGUCCAGAAUUCCCAGAAUCCAGUCGGGUGCACUUUGCAGACCCUAAAAUGCUGUCACCAUGGAAGGUUUCAUUGCUUGCACCUGCUAAAACAUUUGAGGCAUUUGAGAGGCAGUGAAACACAUUUGCUUUUCAUUUUAUCUGACUUUGGAAACCUUUGAAGUGUUUAAUGGUGGAGCCCAGGAAAGAUCUCCGCCUCUUAAUCAUUUACUCGUAAGGCACAUUCUCGGCUGUAGCCUGUCAAGCAGAAACUGAACUGAGCCCACUUUUAUUAAGUGUCACAUGCCCAGUCACUGUUCAUUAAAGGUGUUUUAAGGUUUGAAUUAUGUAAUUUAUGAGAAAAAGAAAUAAAAAUUCCAUUGUUUUAUUAA